ACGGAAGGCAGCAGUGGGGAAUAUUGCACAAUGGGCGAAAGCCUGAUGCAGCGACGCCGCGUGAGUGAAGAAGUAUUUCGGUAUGUAAAGCUCUAUCAGCAGGGAAGAAAAAUGACGGUACCUGACUAAGAAGCACCGGCUAAAUACGUGCCAGCAGCCGCGGUAACACGUAUGGUGCAAGCGUUAUCCGGAUUUACUGGGUGUAAAGGGAGCGCAGGCGGUACGGCAAGUCUGAUGUGAAAGCCCGGGGCUCAACCCCGGUACUGCAUUGGAAACUGUCGAACUAGAGUGUCGGAGGGGUAAGCGGAAUUCCUAGUGUAGCGGUGAAAUGCGUAGAUAUUAGGAGGAACACCAGUGGCGAAGGCGGCUUACUGGACGAUAACUGACGCUGAGGCUCGAAAGCGUGGGGAGCAAACAGGAUUAGAUACCCUGGUA
rnacentral:rRNA from 1 species